rnacentral:rRNA from 1 species
AGAGUUUGAUCCUGGCUCAGAACGAACGCUGGCGGCAGGCUUAACACAUGCAAGUCGAGCGAAGGCUUCGGCCUUAGCGGCGAACGGGUGAGUAACGCGUGGGAACGUGCCCUUCACUGCGGGAUAGUCCCUGGAAACGGGGUUUAAUACCGCAUACGCCCUUCGGGGGAAAGAAUUUCGGUGAAGGAUCGGCCCGCGUCUGAUUAGGUAGUUGGUGGGGUAACGGCCUACCAAGCCGACGAUCAGUAGCUGGUUUUAGAGGAUGAUCAGCCACACUGGGACUGAGACACGGCCCAGACUCCUACGGGAGGCAGCAGUGGGGAAUCUUAGACAAUGGGCGCAAGCCUGAUCUAGCCAUGCCGCGUAAGUGAUGAAGGCCCUAGGGUCGUAAAGCUCUUUCGCCAGGGAAGAUAAUGACGGUACCUGGUAAAGAAACCCCGGCUAACUCCGUGCCAGCAGCCGCGGUAAUACGGAGGGGGUUAGCGUUGUUCGGAAUUACUGGGCGUAAAGCGCGCGUAGGCGGACUGGAAAGUUGGGGGUGAAAUCCCGGGGCUCAACCUCGGAACUGCCUCCAAAACUGUCAGUCUGGAGUUCGAGAGAGGUGAGUGGAAUUCC